rnacentral:rRNA from 3 species
AACUUUCAACAACGGAUCUCUUGGUUCGGGCAUCGAUGAAGAACGCAGCGAAAUGCGAUAAGUAAUGCGAAUUGCAGAUCUCCGUGAGUCAUCGAAUCUUUGAACGCACAUUGCGCCCUCGGGUAUUCCCGAGGGCAUGCCUGUCCGAGCGUCA